rnacentral:lncRNA from 1 species
UUUCCAAAAAUAACUAAUCUUAGGCUAUUUAGGAUUGUAAGUAAAUGUGAUAAAUAGAUCCGAAUAACCUGUCAAUUGAUAAAUUGCCAUAAUAUCUUGAUAAUUCUACAUAAAAUAUCUAGAACCAUCGAUAAAUGAGGAAGGCAAUACAAUACGUUUACCAACUAAUAAAGCUCUAGUAUCACCUCUAAGAAUAGCAUCUUUCAAGUCAUAGUAUAAUUCUGAUCGUAGUUGAGAUUGGUUCUUUCUAAACCCAACAAAGAUGGCUCUCUUCAACACAAAUAUAGCAAUCAACAAUAUAUUGCUGAAAUAAUCUACCUCUCCGUAAUAAUGUAUGACCUUCAG